rnacentral:rRNA from 1 species
AGAGUUUGAUCCUGGCUCAGAUUGAACGCUGGCGGCAUGCCUUACACAUGCAAGUCGAACGGCAGCACGGGUGCUUGCACCUGGUGGCGAGUGGCGGACGGGUGAGUAAUGCAUCGGAACGUGUCCUGAAGUGGGGGAUAACGCAUCGAAAGAUGUGCUAAUACCGCAUAUUCUCUGAGGAGGAAAGUAGGGGAUCGAAAGACCUUAUGCUUUUGGAGCGGCCUACGUCCGAUUAGCUGGUUGGUGGGGUAAAAGCCUACCAAGGCGACGAUCGGUAGCGGGUCUGAGAGGACGACCCGCCACACUGGGACUGAGACACGGCUCAGACUCCUACGGGAGGCAGCAGUGGGGAAUAUUGGACAAUGGGCGCAAGCCUGAUCCAGCAAUGCCGCGUGGGUGAAGACGGCCUGCGGGUUGUAAAGCCCUUUAGGCGGGGAGGAACGGUCGGGUGCGAAGACCACCCGGCGCUGACGUUACCCGCAGAAUAAGCACCGGCUAACUCCGUG